rnacentral:rRNA from 1 species
UACGUAGGGUGCAAGCGUUAAUCGGAAUUACUGGGCGUAAAGGGCGCGUAGGCGGCCUGUUAAGUCGAACGUGAAAUCCCCGGGCUCAACCCGGGAACUGCGUCCGAUACUGGCAGGCUUGAAUUCGGGAGAGGGAUGUGGAAUUCCAGGUGUAGCGGUGAAAUGCGUAGAUAUCUGGAGGAACACCGGUGGCGAAGGCGGCAUCCUGGACCGAUAUUGACGCUGAUGCGCGAAAGCCAGGGGAGCAAACGGG